rnacentral:lncRNA from 1 species
AUGCCACAAAGAAGCCGAAACCGCACUUCCAGGGUGACUCCUCCAGCUAGCUAGCCAAGCCCCUCAAGUGAGGGCUGUUCCCUGAAGAGCACCUGCAGCUCAGCCUCCAGCAGCAGCUGCACCAUCUGCAGUUGGCUCACCUGCCACUGCACCCCAGCAGCCAGGCCUCAUGGCCCAGUUGGCUACCAGUGUGGCCAUGGGCUCUGUAGUGGGGCAUACCCUGGGUCACGCCAUCACUGGGGGCUUCAGCGCAGGUGGUAGUGCUGAGCCUGCAAAGCCUGACAUCACUUACCAGGAGCCCAGCUGCAGAACCAGCGUUCUUUUGGACCUUGCUCUCUAGAGAUCAAGCAGUUUCUGGAGUGUUCUCAGAACCAGAGUGAUGUCAAGCUCUGUGAGGACUUCAAUGAGGUACUGUGGCAAUACAGGAUUGCAAAUAAUCUAAUC